GAUGAACGCUGGCGGCGUGCUUAACACAUGCAAGUCGAACGGAAAGGCCCAAGCUUGCUUGGGUCCUCGAGUGGCGAACGGGUGAGUAACACGUGGGUGAUCUGCCCUGCACUUCGGGAUAAGCCUGGGAAACUGGGUCUAAUACCGGAUAGGACGAUGGUUUGGAUGCCAUUGUGGAAAGUUUUUUCGGUGUGGGAUGAGCUCGCGGCCUAUCAGCUUGUUGGUGGGGUAAUGGCCUACCAAGGCGUCGACGGGUAGCCGGCCUGCGAGGGUGUACGGCCACAUUGGGACUGAGAUACGGCCCAGACUGCUACGGGAGGCAGCAGGGGGGAAUAUUGCACAAUGGGCGCAAGCCUGAUGCAGCGACGCCGCGUGGGGGAUGACGGCCUUCGGGUUGUAAACUCCUUUCGCUAGGGACGAAGCGUUUUUGUGACGGUACCUGGAGAAGAAGCACCGGCUAACUACGUG
rnacentral:rRNA from 1 species